CCGCCCCCCAUCCAGCAAUCAUGGCUGCGCCGCCCGCACGCUCCGGACAGCCAAAGCACAUCUCUGCAGGCAAAGCUUAGAGCUGCUGGCAUUGUGGAGCUCCAGGACCCGAGAGAUCUGAUCCAGUGGAUGCAAUUCCCUCCCGUACACCCAAAGCACAACAGUCAUUCGUGGGAAGGACCUGAGGACAGUCCUCAGCCUCUCAGUAAUUCAGUCUGCACCCCACGUUGCUGGGUUUGGGCCCAUUUGGCAGCAGAUAGGGAAGAUCCGGGUGGAGGAGCUUGAGAGGGUGGGGGGCACCGGGGCAGAUUUAACCCCUACCUCUGUGUGUCUCCGUGUGCAUGCACAGGGAUGUGCCAGCUGAGGGGACACACAGACACUUUGCUCCAGGGCUCCGUGAGGGUUUGACGUGGCUCUGUGCUCCUUCAUACUGCAUUUGUGCUCCGUGGACUGAGAGCUGCAUCUUAAAUUGGGGUAUUUAAACAAACAGAGUGCCUGUUCCUCUUAUCCACUCACCCCAGCAUGGACAUACGUGGGGCUUCGAUUAGGAACUGCUGGAGCUUUGCCCUUUGGAGCUCUGUGCUCUCACCCUGCACCCACCUGGAGGCAAUGGGGGUGGGCACACCCACACUCCCACACUCCCACACCCACAUUCACACUCACUCACACUCACACACUCCUACCCACACGCCCACACUCACACUCACAUUUUCUCUUGCACCAAACAAACGCCUCGGCCAAAACCCCACUCACCCAGAGCAAGAUUUUACAGUGAUGUUUGCUGUUGCCAGAAAGCAGCAAACUUUACAACCCAGAUGUGUUGGGGGGGGGGUCAGAGCAGCUCACUGCUGCUGUGUUUAUGCUGAGACCCGACACGAUUGCAGUGGUUUAUAAUCUG
ensembl:lncRNA